UCCAUUAUGGUGCAGUUCUUCCAC
rnacentral:piRNA from 1 species